CAUAUGGAGGUUCCCGGGCUAGGGGUCGAAUCGGAGCUACAGCUGCUGACCUACACCACAGCCACAGCAACACAGAAUCUGAGCCUCAUCUGUGACCUACACCACAGCUCUCUGCAAUGCUGGAUCCUUCCUUGACCCACAUGAGGCCAGGGAUCGAACCCGCAACCUCACGGAUCCUAAUCAGGUUCUUAACAGCUGAUCCAUGAAGGGAAAUCCCGGAAUAGGUUUCUUCCUAACACUUAUAUACACCUGGCCUCUUCAGACUUCACAUCACAGCCAGAAACAAUUGUCUACUUUUAAGGACCUGUGUGACUAGAUUAAUCCCACCCAGAUGAUCUAGGAUAAUCUCCCUGUUUUGAGAUCCUUAAUUUAACCACACCUGCAAAGUCUCUUUUGCUGUGUAAGCAAACAUGCACACAGGUUCUGGGGAUUAGUAGGUGGAUAUCUUUGAGUACCCAUUAUUAUGGCCCCAAUAAUAUCUUUUAAUAUCUUCCUACUUCUUUGCUUUAUUUCUCUUAACGCAUAAUCAGAGCUACGGCUGCCUGCCUACGCCACAGCCACAGGAACACUGGACGCAAGCUGCCUCUGUGACCUACAGUUUUGUUAAUUUGUUCUUGGAUUACUUUGACACAUACAACUUUUAAUCCUUUCCUGAGUUUUUCACCUCCUGAGCUUUUCUAAAUCUGACAUAUACUGCUUUCCAUAUCUUAGGUUACUUUUUAUGUCUGCUUUAAACCUAAAACAAUAAAACAGCUGGUUAUUUUUUACCAGCAAAACAGAUUUAUCCAAGAGAACCACAUAAUCACCUUUUGGGACAGGCGACGAUGGUGAACCACAGACAUGUGCAGUAGAAGAAAGGAGAGAAAAUGCUUUGCUAGAGGAAAAGGGGACGUUGGGAGGCUGUAAGAAACAAAAAGUCCCUUCUAGGAAAUUAGUACUUAGACGUAAAGAUGGCUUUUCAUUGGCUGAGUUGUGACAGUCAAAAAACCCUUUCUUCCUCCUGCUGGUGAUACUCAAACAGCAAUCCCUGAGGGAGAUGCAAGGUACAGCUCUUCCUGUUGGGCUCUGCCCUGAUCUUGAGAGGCACGUGUAUGAGAGCGCCCCCUUCUGGCCUCCCCAUUCUAUUUUGGUGAGGUUUCCCUUUAAUUUAAUUUUCGCCCUGAUUUAUUUUAAAAUCUUAGAUUACAGGUCUCAUCCAUUUUGAAGGCAUGACUUUGGCUUCUCUAGAGCCUGUGAUCCCAGAGAGUAAGGCAGGAGACAGUGCUCUCCUUGGGAACCAGCCUCCAAGUCAAACUUCACCAUCUCCCCAACAUCCCACUGGUUGCACCGUGCUCCCGGUUCAGCGUGGGUGGGGACCACGCUGGAUGCAAGCGCCAGUGAGAGAGAAGACAUCUCCACUAUGUCGUCUCAUAAAAUGCUUAUUAGGUACAAGAGGAAAACAAUAACUUUACAAUGGAGAAACCUGACCAACGGCCUUAACCAAGCAUCCCGGUCAGUUCAGGCUGCUGGAACAAAGUCCCAUAGAUUGGGUGGCUUGUGAACAACGGACACUGACUUUCUCACAGCUCUGGUGGCUGGACAUCCAAGAUGAGGGUGGCUGCAUGGUCAGGACCUGGGGAGGACCCUCCUCAGGGGGUGCCAACUGCAGACUUUUCCCUGUGUCCCCGCAGGGGUCAAGAGAGCUGGAGAGCUCAGCGAGGACUCUUACAAAGAUCCCAUCACAAGGGCACCACCUCUCGGCCUAAUCGCCUGCCAAAGGCCCACCUCCUACAACCAUCACACUGGACGUGAGGAUUGCAACCUAUGAAUUUUGUGGGAAAGACAAAUAUUCAGACCGCUGCAUCAAGUGAGCGGAAUUUGCACCUCCAAUAUUGGAACAAACUGACACCGUGCACUUUGAAGAGCUGAGGACCUGUCACUCAUGUGUAUUCCUGCCCAAAUGGCGUGAUCUAAAUCUAACCCUGGGAGUUCCCGUCCUGGCUCAGUGGUUAACGAAUCUGACUAGGAACGAUGAGGUUGCACGUUCGAUCCCUGGCCUCGCUCAGUGGGUUAAGGAUCCGGCGUUGCCAUGAGCUGUGGUGAAGGUUGCAGACGAGGCUUGGAUUCUGCAUUGCUGUGGCUCUGGUGUAGGUCGGUGGCUGCAGCUCUGGUUAGACCCCUAGCCUGGGAACUUCCAUAUGAAAAAGACAAUAAAUAAAUAAAUUUAAUCCUGAAAAGGCUCAGAGGGACCCUAGCUAAAGGACACCCGACAAACGCCUCCAGGGUACUCUGGUUGUCCUGGUGCGUGCUGCCCCCUGCUGGCUCUGCAUGUGCCUUCGGGAAGCAGAAUGAACUCUCCCGUGCCCUGCUCGUUUUCAAUCACUUUUUUCAAUUUCUUUCAUGCUAUUUGACUGAAUUAAGCUACAUUAUAGAAACACCAGCAGGAGCACUGCCACAAAAUAUGGUGCAAACCAAGUAGACUUGGAUGGUUCAUCUUAGCUGCUGUGUGACGGUGGGGAAGCCGCCUAACUUUUCUGAGCAUUAGUUGUCUUAUCUGUAAAAUGGAGUUUUUUUAAAAAAAAAACAACACAAAAACUAGCUCAGAGUAUCAUGAAGAAAAUGUGGUGAGGCUGUAUAGAAAGAACAUUAAUAAUAUUAAGUUAAUAAUACUUACUAGAUUGAUAUAUUAAUGACAGUAUAACAUUAUUAUAGUAAUUACUGUAUACUGAUAAUAGUUAAUAUUCUUGCACUGUGUUUCAGACAUUCAAUAUUAUCUAACAAUCUUUCUGACUACACAUAUCCACACACACACAGACACUUUUGCCUGUUUACAAUAUGGGAAAUUGAGGCACAAAGAGAUUAAGGAACUUGAUACAAUCAACACAGCUAGUAAGAGGAUUUGAACUCAUGUAAGGCAGCUCAAAUGUCCAAACUUUUUAGGAGUUCCCGCUGUGAUGCAGUGGGUGAAGAAUCUGACUGCAGCAGCUCUGGUCACUGCGGGGCUCGGGUUCAAUCCCCCACCUGGGGAAGUUGGGUAAAGGAUCAGGCGUUGCUGCAGCUGUGGCUUAGGUCGCAGCUGGGGCUUGGAUUCAAUCCCUGGCCAGGGGACCCUCCAUAUGCUGUGGGAAUGGCCAUUAAAAAAACAAAAAGUCCACACGUUAAGCCACUAACCUGUUAUCAGCAAAUCCUUGUUUAAAUAAUGAACGAACUUAACUUCAAUGUGUGAUGACGAUUCCAAUGGGGGAAGCAGAGACUUCUCCUUCCCAGCACAUUAGUGUCUUCUGCACAAUCUCUCAGGUCACGAAGGCCUUUUCCAUCCUCCGCCUGUCUCAACUAUCCCGCUCCUUCCGAGACCUUGGGAGAGAAAGCUUUAAUAUUCCUGUGUGCAGCUGGAAAGAGUAUCCCCACGAUUCAAGACACAUCUUCAGUUUUUUAACUUUAAAGAAACAGGGACUGUCCAUGCCAAGAAUAUGCAAGUGGAAGGUCAGAGGUCACUUCCCGGGAGUUCCCGGUGUGGCUCAGCAGGCUGAGAACCUGAUGCUGUCUCUCUGAGAAUAUGGGCUUGAUCCCUGGUGUCACUCAAGUGGCUUAAGGAUGUGGCAUUGCUGCAAGCUAUGGUGUAGGUCGCAGACUCGGCUUGAAUCCUGUGUUGUUGUGGCUGUGGUGUAGGCUGGCAGCUGCAGCUCUGAUUCGGCCCCUGGCUGGGGAAAUUCCACAUGCUGUAGGUGUGGGCUUAAAGAAAAAAAAAAGCACUUCCGCUAUUCCAGCCUCCUGAAUUUAUCGUCAGAAUCUAGUUAAAGGGUUUGUUUCUAUAUAUGUUCACAUCUCUCAGUCCACCUUCUCUGCACACUCACCGGUGCGGCUUCCCUUAAAUAAAACGUGGAGGCUAAAGCAGUAAAUACAGGAACAAGCUAAACGUGAGCAUGGAGCUGGGGCCACAUCCAAGGGCAUCUUUUUCAUUGCUUCGUUUUAAAUGCUUUUAACCUUUAAUCUGUCAAUUUUGGUGAGACAGGAAAAUUAAUAAAUAGCACUCUUACCUCCCACGUCAAACGAUAAUGCAUUUCCUGUUUCUCCCACCUUUAUUUGAGGCUUAUUUGGGGUAUUCUUUAAAUUGACUAGUAUGCUUCCUUCAUUUAAUAGAAUAAGCUUUUCAUAUUAAACAUCUCACGUUUACUAAUGUAUGAAGAGCGACACCUUCAGCCUUAAGGUGCUCGAGGAAGUGAAUGCUUUUGGACAGAGCUUCCACUUUAUUGAUUUUAUGAUAGGAAAAACACAUAUUUCAGGGCAAACUACUCGCUGAGAGGAAGGAGGUACAUUAACUUUCCUGACAGAGCAGUAAUUGAAAGCGUACCUUAGUUUUUUCUUUUUCCUUUGUCUUUUGCCCCGUCUAGGGCUGCACCCACGGCACAUGGAGGUUCCCAGGCUAGGGGUCUGAUCGGAGCUGCUGCCACCGGCCUACGCCACAGCCACAGCAAUGCCAGAUCCGAGCCUUGCCUUCGACCAACACCACAGCUCAUGGCAACGCCAGAUCCUCAACCCACUGAGCAAGGCCAGGGAUCGAACCCCAACCUCAGGGUUAACUAGUCGCAUUUGUUUCUGCUGCACCACGACGGGAACUCCUGAAAGGGUACCUUAGUGACUUAGAAAUGAGGCGGAGAGCCGUAGUUGAGCUGAAAGCGGAGCUCUAGGUGCAGAUCUAGAAAAGCCUACGGAUUUCUGCUCUGUGACUGACUGCCCCCGAGUUCCCUCGGCCCCCAGCCCUCAGAUCAGAUCCCCGCGUGUUAUUUUAAAUCACAAGACUCUGUGCAAGAGGUAAAUCCUCACAGCUGAGGAGACGGGGGCUCGGCAAAGUCAGUGGCCUGAGAAUGAAUAAAUACUGUAAAUCCUCAGUCUCAGGAAACCCACCCAAGGCGAAUGUGCUGGUAAAUGUUUCACGACUGGCUCUCUGUUUUUCUGUUUUUUGUUUUUUUAAAGCC
rnacentral:lncRNA from 1 species